CGCCUCUUGCUACACCCCGCAUAAGAGGUCCUGCCUGCCCAGUGACACUAAGUUAAACGGCCGCGGUAUUUUGACCGUGCAAAGGUAGCGCAAUCACUUGUCUUUUAAAUAAAGACCCGUAUGAAUGGCAAGACGAGGGCUUAACUGUCUCCUUUUUCCAGUCAAUGAAAUUGAUCUUCCCGUGCAGAAGCGGGAAUAAGUCCAUAAGACGAGAAGACCCUGUGGAGCUUUAGACAAUAGACCCGCUCAUGUCAAUCCUCUUAAAUUAAUACCGAGUAAACCAAAUGGCCUCUGUUCUAAUGUCUUCGGUUGGGGCGACCAUGGGGAAUUACAAAACCCCCACGUGGAUUAGGAGCACCAUCUCCCACCCUCCUACAAACCAGAGAAACACCUCUAGUUAACAGAAAUUCUGACCUAAAAUGACCCGGCAACGCCGAUCAACGAACCAAGUUACCCCAGGGAUAACAGCGCAAUCCCCUUUCAGAGCCCAUAUCGACAAGGGGGUUUACGACCUCGAUGUUGGAUCAGGACAUCCUAGUGGUGCAACAGCUACUAAGGGUUCGUUUGUUCAACGAUUAAAGUCCU
rnacentral:rRNA from 1 species